rnacentral:rRNA from 1 species
UGGGGAAUCUUGGACAAUGGGGGCAACCCUGAUCCAGCCAUGCCGCGUGAGCGAUGAAGGCCUUAGGGUUGUAAAGCUCUUUCACCGGUGAAGAUAAUGACGGUAGCCGGAGAAGAAGCCCCGGCUAACUCCGUGCCAGCAGCCGCGGUAAUACGGAGGGGGCUAGCGUUGUUCGGAAUUACUGGGCGUAAAGCGCGCGUAGGCGGAUUGUUAAGUCGGGGGUGAAAUCCCGGGGCUCAACCCCGGAACUGCCUCCGAUACUGGCAGUCUUGAGGUCGAGAGAGGUGAGUGGAAUGGCGAGUGUAGAGGUGAAAUUCGUAGAUAUUCGCCGGAACACCAGUGGCGAAGGCGGCUCACUGGCUCGAUACUGACGCUGAGGUGCGAAAGCGUGGGGAGCAAACAGGAUUAGAUACCCCCGUAGUCC